GCCUCGCUACUUAAAGUUGUGGUCUUUGGACCAUGGGCAUCAGCAUCACCUGGAGUCUGUUAGACAUGCAACAUCGCAGGCCCCACUCCAGAUCUGCUGCCUCAGGAUCUGCAUUGGAACAGGAUUGGCAUCCCCAGGGAAAGUGUGGCCCUUGCUAUGGAGAAAUGACAAUGAAUGAACUGCAGUGACACACAACAACAACAUGGAUGGACCUUCAACACAUAUCACUGAGCCAAAAAGAGCAAGAUCAAAAGAAAAAUCUCUAAUAUGAUUCCACUGGCAUAAGUUUUGAAAGCAGACAAAAUUAUAGUUUGAGGAUCCACUCUUUGGUGGUGAAACUAUAAAAGAAAACAAGGAAAUGGUUACCAUAAAUAUCAGGAGAAUGGCACAUCUAGGUGAGAGAAGGGAAUGUAAUUGGGGAAGGGGCAGGUGGAGAAGUGAGCUUUAGAGUAGUGGCAAUGAUCUAUGUUUUAAUCUGCAUGGCUGUUACUUCAGUGCUUA
rnacentral:lncRNA from 10 species